rnacentral:rRNA from 1 species
UACGAAGGGGGCUAGCGUUGUUCGGAAUUACUGGGCGUAAAGCGCACGUAGGCGGACAUUUAAGUCAGGGGUGAAAUCCCAGAGCUCAACUCUGGAACUGCCUUUGAUACUGGGUGUCUUGAGUAUGGAAGAGGUGAGUGGAAUUCCGAGUGUAGAGGUGAAAUUCGUAGAUAUUCGGAGGAACACCAGUGGCGAAGGCGGCUCACUGGCCCGAUACUGACGCUGAGGCACGAAAGCGUGGGGAGCAAACAGG